rnacentral:rRNA from 1 species
UAGGGAAUCUUCGGCAAUGGGGGGAACCCUGACCGAGCAACGCCGCGUGAGUGAAGAAGGUUUUCGGAUCGUAAAGCUCUGUUGUUAAGGAAGAACGAGUGUGAGAAUGGAAAGUUCAUGCUGUGACGGUACUUAACCAGAAAGGGACGGCUAACUACGUGCCAGCAGCCGCGGUAAUACGUAUGUUGCGAGCGUUAUCCGGAAUUAUUGGGCUUAAAGGGCAUCUAGGCGGUAAGACAAGUUGAAGGUGAAAACCUGUGGCUCAACCAUAGGCUUGCCUACAAAACUGUUGAACUAGAGUACUGGAAAGGUGGGUGGAACUACACGAGUAGAGGUGAAAUUCGUAGAUAUGUGUAGGAAUGCCGAUGAUGAAGAUAACUCACUGGACAGAAACUGACGCUGAAGUGCGAAAGCUAGGGGAGCAAACAGG